GUUUUCUGAGAGGAAAUGCAUAUUCUUGGGACUACUUUCUUUUUUAUUAUAGCCCUCAAGGUCUGUGUAGGUUUCUUCCUUCAGACGUCGGAGGUCCAGGUGUAUGUUGGAGAAAGUGUGGUCUUGCGCUGCAAUGGUUCAGGGUUCCCUGUGGAGGAGCUGCAUGUUCACUGGGAGGCGAUGGGCAAAGACGUGAUCUCUCUGCGAGGAGACGCGGUCGCGGUCGGGAGAGGGUUUGAAGACCGGGUGAACUUCCUCAGAGAUCCUGCAGAGUCCGAGGACUUUUCCCUCAUUCUGUCAGAUGUGAUGCUGAACGAUGGAGACAUAUACGAAUGUCUCUGGGAGGGAACAAAACCCAUUUGCUUUGUGUUUCUACAAGUGUCCACACCAGCGGUUUUCACUGAUCAUGUCCAAGUGUUUGAGGGCGUCGAUAUCACUUUGGACUGCUUUGGAGAUAUCCCUAAAAACAAGCCAUGGGAAGACAUUUACAUCCAGUGGCUGAAGGAUGACCGAGAGAUCCUGCGCUUGAGCUCUGGACAGAUGGACGUCAGUGUCGAUUCCAGCGUGCUGAGGUUACCGGCCAAACACGACAUCAGUCGCGGCAUCUUCUCGCUGAGCAUCGCGUCAGUCAGUGUCUUCGACCGCGGCGUGUAUCAGUGCCGGUACAAGAGCACCGAUUACGAGGCGCCGCGGAGCGGGUUCCCGGAGACACAUACGCUCACGGUCUCGGGUGACGUUACACAACCUCUUCAGUCUUAAGCGCGAUUAAUCGCAUCCAAAGUAAAAGCUUUGUAUACAUAAUAUGUGUGUGUGUGUGUGUGUGUGUGUGUGUGCGUGCGUGUAUAUAUAAAUACACACACAUGCAUGUAUACAUUUCAGAAAAAUGGUAUGUUUUUUAUAUCAAAUUGUUAUAUUUAUAUAUACUAUAAAUUGUAUGAAUAUAAAUAUACACACACACACAUAUAUAUAUAUAUAUGUGUGUGUGUGUGUGUGUGUGUGUGUAUACAUGUACAUAUUUACAAAAUAUAUAGCCUACUGUAUGUGUGUAUAUUUAUACAUAGGCCUACAUAAUAAAUAUACAAAGUACACACUUAUAUAUUAUGUA
ensembl:lncRNA